rnacentral:rRNA from 1 species
ACCUGACUGCUAUCGGAUUAAUACUAAGCCAUGCGAGUCAUUGUAGCAAUACAAGGCAUACGGCUCAGUAACGCGUAGUCAACCUAACCUAUGGACGGGAAUAACCUCGGGAAACUGAGAAUAAUGCCCGAUAGAACAUUAUACCUGGAAUGGUUUAUGUUCCAAAUGAUUUAUCGCCAUAGGAUGGGACUGCGGCCUAUCAGUUUGUUGGUGAGGUAAUGGCCCACCAAGACUAUUACAGGUACGGGCUCUGAGAGGAGUAGCCCGGAGAUGGGUACUGAGACACGGACCCAGGCCCUAUGGGGCGCAGCAGGCGAGAAAACUUUGCAAUGUGCGAAAGCAGGACAAGGUUAAUCCGAGUGAUUUCUGCUAAAGAGAUCUUUUGUUAGUCCUAGAAACACUAACGAAUAAGGGGUGGGCAAGUUCUGGUGUCAGCCGCCGCGGUAAAACCAGCACCUCAAGUGGUCAGGAUGAUUAUUGGGCCUAAAGCAUCCGUAGCCGGCUCUGUAAGUUUUCGGUUAAAUCUGUACGCUCAACGUACAGGCUGCCGGGAAUACUGCAGAACUAGGGAGUGGGAGAGGUAGACGGUACUCGGUAGGAAGUGGUAAAAUGCUUUGAUCUAUCGAUGACCACCUGUGGCGAAGGCGGUCUACCAGAACACGUCCGACGGUGAGGGAUGAAAGCUGGGGGAGCAAACCGGAUUAGAUACCCGGGUAGUCCCAGCUGUAAACUAUGCAAACUCAGUGAUGCAUUGGCUUGUGGCCAAUGCAGUGCUGCAGGGAAGCCGUUAAGUUUGCCGCCUGGGAAGUACGUACGCAAGUAUGAAACUUAAAGGAAUUGGCGGGGGAGCACCACAAGGGGUGAAGCCUGCGGUUC